GUCCUCCGCAUAGGGACCUCCAUCGCGAUCGGAUCUGGGGCGUCCACUAUGUUUUGGUUUGACCGGUGGACUGCGGACACCCCCUUCGCUACCAGGUUCCCAUAUCUGUUCUCCAUUGUGGUCGAGCCUAGGAUCUCCGUCGAGACGGCCCUUAUUGACUUAGGGUGUCUCGCAUUCCGGCGGCCAUUUGGGCCACCGGAAGUAGCCGUGUGGCAUGAGCUUCUAGACGGCGUGGCUCUCCAUGAGCCUGACCUGGUGCAACCCCCCGACCACCUAUCCUGGCAUCUCGAACCCUCUGGCCGGUUCUCCACGAAGUCCCUAUACCAGGCCAUUGCCCCUCCCCUAGCCCUGCGGCUUGCGUCGAUCUGGGCCAUCCGUGUGCCCCUCAAGAUUAUAAUCUUCAUGUGGCAAUGGAUCCACGACCGGCUUCCCUCUGGCGUGGAGGUGUUGAAACGCCAAGGCCCAUGUGAUGGUAUCUGCCCCUUAUGUGGGACGGAAGAAACCUCGAAUCACAUCUUCUUCUCGUGCGUCUCCGCCCAGUUCCUCUGGGGAUGCCUCCAUGAGACGGUCGGUGGUAGAUGGUGUAACACCAACUUCCCAGACCUCCUCACCGAGGUUCAGGCCUCCCACAUGAAGGGCCGCCACAUUAGGUGGCUGCUCAUUGGGGUUCUUGCGUGGACUCUUUGGACCGUGCGUAAUAAGCUUGUCAUUCAGCGGGUUCCUCUUCGAUGUGCCACUGACGUUGUGUUCAAAAUGUGUGGAUAUUUGCAACUCUGGGGGCCGCUUAGCCGUCACCAGGACCGGGACACCAUCAACAUCAUCAUUGCCGACCUUCGUGCAAUGGCUCUCUGCUUGGCGCUGAUACGUCUCCAACGUAUCUAUAAUUUUUGA
rnacentral:rRNA from 1 species